AGAGGCUUAGGUUAGUUACUAGACCAAGGGCCUUCAAAGCCCUAAGCGGAAGUGAGAAUCUUUCAGCCCCUG
rnacentral:tRNA from 1 species